rnacentral:misc_RNA from 1 species
GGUCCCCUCGCCCCCGUGGGCAGUGUGAGGGCCGGCUGAGCUGCGCUCGAGUCACGUGUUGGCACACUGCCUAGUCAUAUGGGUGGCGCACAAGCGUGCUCGCCGUCGCAGGCCGCUCCGACGCAGCGCCCGUCCAGGACCGGGCCGCCGGCAUCCGUGGCGGUGCAUCGCUCUGGCCUCCCCUACCUUGUAGGUGCUUGACCCUGUCACCACGCGAAGGGGCUUGGCAUUGGCAGGGUUAGGUUGGGAGCUGCUUGGCUUCCGCCCUCAGAGUGGGUGGGGGUGGGGGGCGGGGGCACCGUGCCCUGAGAUGCCAUGCGCUGUAUGAGCUGUACCCCGCUGUUCAGGGCCGCGAAAGCACUGCUGUGAAGAGAACAGAGGGACUUCAUAGCGAGGCUCUUCAGUACCCUCUGUCAUCGCCUGCCAUCCCUCGAUGCAUGGAGCCUCGAGCGCCCUUACCUACGCACCGAUGGAGUAUAGCGCCCCUGCCAAUGCGCACACCCGCCAGGAGACGCAGCGGUGUCUACGUUUGGAUCAUGAGGCACACGAGCGCUGCUUUCACAUCUCUAGCGUGUUUCCUCUAGCUCUUCCGCCGCACAUCACACCACCCUGGAACGAGCACGCUAGCGACCGUCACGCUCUCAGCGAGGAGGCGUACCGCGGUCGCUGCGACGGCAAUCUGUCGCACCAUGACCUGCUUGAGUACUGCCACAACUACGCCCAGUGGCGCAUCCCUCUGCGACGUCGAGGAGGGAACUGGCAGGCGCUGCCUCUCACCAUGAAGAAGGCUGCACAGAUGCAGGCCAAUGGACUCGCUGUGGUGCGUUUGCUCCAGGCCUUCCGCAUGAUUCUGCGCUUCUCCAGCACCUGCAUCACCCGUACACCGCUGCCAAAUGGAGUGCGGCUCUCCUCUGAGGCCGACUACACGCGUGUGACGGCAGUAGUAUAGCGCACCCAGUACUAGAAUCUUCGCCAGCGCUCGCAUAACGAGCUGCACAUUAGCCGCACUGCGCAGCUUGUGAGCAAGGCGUGGGUAAAGCAGCUCCACGUGGACUGGCUGGAGUUUCUUGCGCACGAGGCAAUGACGUAAGGCCCGCCGAUCGGCGGUGGCAGUGCUGGGGGUGGUGGGGGGUAGGAGUGGUGUCUGCGGGGACAGUUUCUUCUGGGUGGAGAUGCCGUUAGAGGAAGCAAAGCAGCGCCGCCUGCAGCAGCGCCCCGCGGAUCUGGCGUAUAGCGCGGGGAGCGGCAGACAAGCCUCUGUCGGCCCUGCUGUGGCUGUGAAGGGGGCUGAUGCUGCCGAGCGCGUUGGAUGCGGUGCGAUCGGCUGCAUCGGCAAUCGACGCCAGCACAGAGAAGGCGGCGCACAAGCGUUGCCAUCUCUCAGCUGUCGGGAGGCGUGGACGCCUUUACUAGGCCUUCUCCAUCGUUCAUUACAAGGUGCAUGAGUCGCCGCCGCGGUGGUCCUGGCUGGUGUUGUUGGGCUUCCCGUUUUUCUCUCCACUUCUCUCCACGGGCCAUCACGUGACUCGAUCACAAUCGCAGGCCGGCCCAGCCGAGACAGUCGUCUGUGGAUUGUGUGAUGGGCACCACCUACGCGCGAAGCAACGCUGCGACUACCCUAUCCUUCCAUCUUCCCUCCCAGCACCCGCUCGCAAAACGAAGGAGUAAAGGGCAACGAUGCGACAAACCCAAGGGAGAGAGCGCGCACAAUACGGAGGAGAAGUCAUGGGGUGCCAACGGCAGUGACGCUGUCCGCCCUUUUCCGUCCUCCAAUGCUUGCCUCCUCACACCCUCUACCUAUUCGUCUAGCCCCUCCCACCCCUUGCUCUCCCGCAUCAACACCGCCACUGCCACCUCCGCCGGCGACCCCCUCACGCAG